UAAGUCACAAGGGGCAGCAGGUGUC
rnacentral:piRNA from 1 species